rnacentral:rRNA from 1 species
UACGUAGGGGGCUAGCGUUGUCCGGAAUCAUUGGGCGUAAAGCGCGUGUAGGCGGUCCGCUAAGUCCGCUGUGAAAGUCGGGGGCUCAACCCUCGGAUGCCGGUGGAUACUGUCGGGCUUGAGUACGGAAGAGGCGAGUGGAAUUCCUGGUGUAGCGGUGAAAUGCGCAGAUAUCAGGAGGAACACCAAUUGCGAAGGCAGCUCGCUGGGACGUUACUGACGCUGAGACGCGAAAGCGUGGGGAGCAAACAGG